rnacentral:rRNA from 1 species
AUUGAACGCUGGCGGCAGGCCUAACACAUGCAAGUCGAGCGGAGCGGCGGACGGGGGAGGAAUGCCUAGGAAUCUGCCUGGUAGUGGGGGAUAACGUCCGGAAACGGGCGCUAAUACCGCAUACUAUCAGAUGAGCCUAGGGCGGAUGAGAUAGUUGGUGGGGUAAAGGCCUCCCAAGUCGACGAUCCGUAACUGGUCUGGGAGGAUGAUCAGUCAAUCUGGAACUGAGACACGGUCCAGACUCCUACGGGAGGCAGCAGUGGGGAAUAUUGGACAAUGGGCGAAAGCCUGAUCCAGCCAUGCCGCGUGUGUGAAGAAGGUCUUAGGAUUGUAAAGCACUUUAAGUUGGGAGGCGUUACCAACAGAAUCAGCACCGGCUAACUUCGUGCCAGCAGCCGCGGUAAUAC